rnacentral:snRNA from 1 species
AUCGCUUCUUGGCUCCUUGGAGCUAAGAUCAAAGUGUAGUGUUUGUUCUUAUCAGUUUAAUAUCUGAUAUGUCCUUUAUUUGAGGACUGUAUAUUAAAUUGGAAUGGGUGAAAAGCUGGUUAGCUUCC